UAUUUUACGUGUUAUUUCUUACAUUAGUACCCCAGGUCAUCUUAGGUUUCAUUACAUACAGUCGAGAAGAACUACUGAAUAUAAGAUCAGCGUCAACUCACCAUCAGUACGACCAAGAAUAUGUUUUCCGCGACGCGGAUCCUGUGUUCUGCCUUACAAACAGGACAACGGAUGCAGCGACCCAAGGAAACGACUCCGAAAAAGAGGGAAACGUAGCGGUCUUCUGGUCAGACUCAGGACAAGGGCACAUCGCGCACCACUCCCCAGCAUUCUUCUUGCCAAUGUCCAGUCUCUUGACAACAAGGUUGAUGAAAUCCGAGCAAGGGUAGCAUUCCAGAGGGACAUCCGAGACUGCAACGUUCUCUGCUUCACGGAAAUAUGGCUCACUGGAAAGACGCUAUCCGGGGCGGUGCAGCCAACGGGUUUCUCCACGCAUCGCGCCGACAGAAACAAACAUCUUUCUGGCCAAUCAGUCAGUUGGAGAUGAUCUCAAUCUCCAGAUGGGGGACCAGCAAGGCCUGGUUUGCUGGAGAUCAGGCUGAGCCAGGACACCAAGCUCCAGGACAGACUUCUUAGGUGUCUGGUUGUAAGGGUGCCAAGGACCUGAAGUCAGUGUGGCAGAUGCUACCUUGCAUCCUGUCAAACCGGCUUGACAUCGCUACAACUUGGACUGGUGCAGGGGAUAAGGAAUGUUUCAAUUACUUGUUUCUAAAGAUUAAUUCUUCAAAGUUUUAAUAUAAAAAAAAGUGUUAAAGUACCUUGGUUUUUACUUGUGUAAUUCAAAUGUAACUCAAUGUUCUUUGUGUACAGGAACCAUUCGUAAGAAUCCUGCAACCUGGGAUGCCACGGAUAGGGGGGGGGGGUCCAGAUUCAGGUCACCCGUUACCUGAAAGGGGCCUCCGAUCGUGAAGACGGCUCACCGGGGAGAGGGAGCUGCUACAAUGAGGGUCAGCAUUAAGUCUCAGCCCACCUAUCCCAAAGCCAGCCUCUACCCCAAGACUUCUACACCCUACCACCCCCACCAUUUAUUUAUAUUCUGUACACAAUCACUUUAGUCUACUGGACCAAUGCAAUGUCACAACUGCACUAUGCAGAUAUACUUUCAUUAUAAUUCUAUGCUGCGAACGCAGUGUAGUUAUUCAGCACAUGGGCAAACAAUGUCCUUGCUAUAUGCCUAUCAGCCAUUUUAGUUUCAUCCCAUUUCCUUUGGUCUACAUGUUUCUUUUGUACUUGAUUUAAUGUAGUCUUAUUUUCAGUAUAUUUACAAUGUUUAUUUCAUUCCUUCACUAUGUAAAUGUUGUUGCCAUAUCAUUGUGAGA